CCUUCCCAAAAAUCCCUACAGCAGCCUGUGGGAUAGCUCCCAUGCUUGGAGCUGGCCAUGGUCUGAGAGAUGGAUGAACAUUCCAGGCAGUGGGAAUGGCACAGUCAGUCCAUAUAAAAACAUCUGAUAAUAUUUUAAUUGACUUCUGAGGGUUUUCUCCAUGAGAAAAGAGUUUGGAGUGACUCAGAGUCUGUAAACUGGGUUAAUGUUCCCUCAGUGCCAAAGGUGCUCUUCCAGGCAUGACAUCCUGCUGGCAAGGGAAAGGGAAUGCCCUGGCAUUGCCAGGCCACCCUGGCAAACCAACACCAUUGCACCACACCAGGGCUUUCCCACCUAAUUCCCCCAAAACCCCCCAUGAGGGUUCAUUGCUCCAGCUUGGGGUGAGCUGCUCCACAGGAGCCCUUGGGUAUCAGCAUUGGGAUUUCCUGGAUAUUAAUAUGGCAAAGCACUUCUUCAGCUCCACAUGGGGUGGGGGCACCCCUGGGAUUUCGGCUCUCAGGGAGCACCUUUUUAAUCCUCUGUGGAAGAGCAUCUCUGUCCCAUCACCUCUGUCCUGUCAUCCCUGUCACCUUCAUCUCUGUCACCAUUGUCCCUGUCUCCAUCAUCCCUGUGCCCAUUAUCCUUGUCCCCAUCGUCCCUGUCACCAUCAUCCCUGUCCCUUCAACCCUGUUGCCAUCACCUCCAUCCCAUCAUCUGUGUCCCCAUCAUCCUUGUCACCAUCAUCUCUGUCCCCACCAUCCUGUCCCAUCACCCCUGUCAUCAUCAUCCCUACUACCAUCAUCUCUAUCACCAUCAUCCCUGUCCCCAUCAUCUCUGUCCCUUCAACCCUGUCACCAUCACCUCUGUCCCAUCACCUCUGUCAUCAUCUCUGUCCUACCAUCCCUGUCCCCAUCAUUCCUGUCAUCAUCAUCCCUGUCACCAUCAUCCCUGUCCCUUCAACCCUGUUGCUAUCACCUCUGUCCCAUCAUCUCUGCCCUACCAUCCCUGUCACCAUCAUCCACCUCUUCAUCACCUCAGUGCCUGUCCCAUCACCUCUGUCACCACCACCUCUGUCACCAUCAUCUCUGUCAUAAUUUCUGUCACCAUCUCUGUCCCAUCAUCCUUGUCACCACCUCUGUCACCAUCAUGCCUGCCCCACAUCUGUCUCCUUAUCUCCAUCACCAUCAUUCCUGUCACCAUCCCCCUGUCCUAUCAUCCCUGUACCCAUCACCUC
rnacentral:lncRNA from 1 species